ACGAAACCUCCCGGCGGGAAGAGCAAACGCCUCUUGCCGGCCCCGCGCAUCGGCUGGGGGAGCGGCGGCCGCAUCGUGCGCGCUGCCCGAGCGCUCUCCCAGGCGCGGGGGAGAGAGCAGCGAGAGCGAGAGCGGCGGCUGGUCCUGUCGCGUGUCUCCGUGCAGCCCGAGCCCUGUUUCUGCAGGGAGGGGAGGGGGUCAGCGUUUCCCCGUCCCCUGUUGACGAGGAUUUCCCCGUCGGGCCGCCUCAGAAAAGAGCCCUAUGCAGAAGACGGGCACGCCGCUUUGCACAGCGGGAGUCCAAGUUACUACCGAGCUACUUGUUUCUGAGUAUGUUGAAGCUCCUUUCGGGAGCACUUUUGGCUGGAGAUGGAUGGCCUCUAGUUCCCGCCCUACAUCUGCCACGACAAAAUAGUCAAAUGUGCACCUGAGGUCAGGCACUGGCACACACUGCAGUGGGAGCUCAGCAUCUCUGUAUGGGACAGCUGUGAUCCAGGUGUUGCCACAGUGAACGAGGUGCCUCACCUCGGGUAUCCACGCCUGACCACUUUGGCAGUUGAUUCCAAUCCUCUCAUUCUGCCCCCAUUUAUUUAAGUGACCUCCCUGCCUACUCCUGCCUCUGCCACCUCCCACCUCCCUGAAGGCUCCAACUCUGAGUUGGAGCAGUUUGUUGUCACAAGCAUCUGUAGUGACAUAAAGAUAAGACCAUCGUCUGGUACUUGUUGGUUGGAGGGUAUGAAAUAAACAUUGUGGGGUAACUGCUUCCAAUUGCCAAGCACCAGGUAAAGUUCCCACAUAGUUUUCCAAGAAUAAUUUGCUUUCCAUGGUCAGGGGAGUGAAGAUCAACCUGAGGACUCUGCAGCAAAACCCUGGCCCUUCGGAUGGGAGGAAAAAACUCCUCUGAAUAGUCUGCCCUGGAUGUGUUUAAACCAUUUAAGUAUAAUACUGGCACCUCUCUCCUGUUUAUGAACUCAAACCAAAAUAUGUCUGGAGCGAUAUGACCCUGGCACCCAUUCCUGCUUGGGGCAAGGGGUUUGACCUGAUGGUCUGUUUAGGUCCCUCCGACCCUAAGCACUAUGAUACUAUGUCAAUCUUUUCCUCUUUCUUAGCACUUCAGUUGUUACUCUUUCCUCUUGCAAGGUUUAGGCUGCUGCUUGCAUAAAAAAAUCUUCACAAGAGGGACUGUUUUUCUUUGAUUAAGGGAACUAAGCUAGAAAGGACCUUUUCCAACUAUGUGUUGAAAAUGGGAUACAUCCCUGUGUAAACUAUUCCUAACCAGCAUUUAUAUGUCCGCUGGCAGAGAUUCCACAACUUAUUUAGGUUACUUAUUCCAGCGCUUGUUCACCUUCAUAAUUAGAAAGUUCUUCCUAAUAUUUAUCUAUUGUUCCUAACUUGCAAGGAACCAAAUCAACAAUUGACUUAUUUUCCCCCCGACCUUGAAUAGGUAGAAUAGCCUAUCUUCUCCUGAGAAACAGUCAUAGAAUGGAUUCCAUGCUGAGCAUUCCCCAGUGGGCUCCCUUUACUGGUUACAGAUGAAGUCGGCUACAGCCACCCUGCACAGCACCAGAGCUUUCAAUGAGCUCAUCUCCAUUAGAAAAACUUUACUGUGUGUGAAGACAAUUGUAGGACAACAGAACAAAGAAUACUAUGGCAUUUCCUUCACUAGAGGUUUUUAAGAAGAGGGGCUAGACAGCCAUCUCUGUGAAGACUUAGGAGUGGCAGAUGACAAAACAAGGAGCAAUGGUCUCAAGUUGCAGAAAGGGAAGUUUAGGUUAGAUAUUAAGAAGUAUGUUCUCACUAGGAGGGUGGUAAAACACUAGAACAGGUUACCCAGAGACAGUGGCAAUGCAUAGGGGGUGCACGGGGGUGUGUGUGCACCCUCUGAGAGUGCUGAUGCACCCCCUGAUACCCAGCGUUCCCCACUUAGGCGAUGGGUAGGGGGGGCAGGCGGGAUCACUGGUGCCCCCCCUGAAGUGCCAGCCAGAGUGUGGGGGUGCCAUGAGAAGCGCCCCUGGCCCUUCUGGGUUGGUGCUCACGACCUGCGGGGGGGACUUCCCCACGCACCCGGUUGGCACGAUCGGUGGGGGGGGCCUCCCCCCCAGUCACUUACUGGCCACUGGUGGGGGAGCAAGUGCCUCCCCCUUUAUUCAGGAGGCACCAGUUGCCCAUGCCCAGAGAGAUGGUGGAAGCUCCAUCCUUGGGGGUUUUCAAACCCCGGCUAGGCAAAGCUUUGGCUGAGAUGAUCUAGUUGGGGCUGGUCCUGCCUUGAGCAGGGGGUUGGACUAGAUGACCCUUUCCACCCUAAUUUUCUAUGAUUCUGUGAGUAUACAUCAUGUGCAAGGAGAUGGAACUAUAUGAUCCUUAAGGUUUCAUCCAACUCCAUCAUUCUAAAAAGAGACAAAUGAAAUGACACGAUGCUGACCACAAGGAUGCAGCUGCUGUAGCCCCUGGCAAGUCCUGUUCUGCUAACCGUGCGCCAUCAGCAAUUAAAUAUGAUCAGCUGGCUCAAUGCUGGAAACUCAUUCGAUGUAAAACAAAGAAAAACAUGAUCAGCAUUAUGCCAGGAGAUCAUAUUUAAACUCAGGUUCCAACAGCCUGCACACACAAUUAGCUGAGCUAGGGGGCAAGCUGUGCUUAGCCUUAGAAUGGACCUGUUAGUCCUGGUCAGCACUGCACUACCUAACUUGGCUCUUCGUUACCUCAUUCAGCAAUGAUAUCAAGUUUGUUGAGGUUGCCCUGAAGCAUUAAAGUUUAGAAUUCUUUCUAGAUUUUAGUUUUAACUUUACAACAAAGCUUCCCUUUGCUUUCUCACUUUCCCUUCCUAGUCCCAUAUGUUUGUAGCUUGUCUAGGCUGUAGCUUGGGGGAGUCGUGAAGCUCUUUCAGCUCUUUCUCACUUGCAAAAGGACUUCUGCUUGGACAAAAUGCAUUCAAGGAAGUGGCUGUUGUCCUUAACUGGCUUCUGAUAGAUAACGGUAUUGGCUCUUACUUUACCCUUGGUUCUUACCAGACUGGUCAAAAGCUAUCAGAAGUUAAGCUUUUUCUUUUUUUUUUUUUUAAUAAAUCAGUUUUAAAAUUGCAUUCCUGCUUCUAACCAGAAGGCAGAGCCUUUAUCAUUUUCCCUUUAAUCAGCAGGAGAAAAGAAAUUUGCUGUGAAUGCCCAGAAUCCCUGAAACAGAUCACACUUUCCCUUUGCACAAAUCAAAGUUAUCUGAUCUUAUUACAUCCUCCACUCAAAAUGAAUCAUAAGCUUCUAUCCCACUGAGGUUUCUCAGGGAGACUUGUUUAGAUCAGAUUAGAACAACAUGCUUCACUUCUAAAAAGCUCACUGUGUCAAAAGUGUUUCCAGUUGGUACAGGGCAUUAAGAAAUGCCUUAUUUAAAAAGUAAAUGUUAUUACCUCAUCUAGCCCCUCUCUCCAAAGGGCAUGAAAAACAGAAGUCAAAAGUCAGCAAAGAUACAUCAAACAGAGAAAGAUCUUAUUGGAGAUUAGGUGUUCCUGUCAAUUGGUUAAUUAUUUUAACAGUUGCACUCAGAGAUGUAGACUGAAGCAGAGGGAAAGAGGAAGGAAGCUGUGAUGUAGUCUAUGGGGUGUCUCAGGACACGAUUUCAGUCAUUAAAAUGUAACAUUGCAAUCUGGUGUAUUUUGAUGCACUUUUGCAAUAUACGUACAGGAAUAAAACUUUCAUGUAUGUUUUCAUUAAGAACUACUCUAUUUUAUGAUGAAUAUUUCAGAAAAUUUUCAAUAAUCUGGAAGAAGAGAGAAAGUAAAACCAGUUGAACAGUACACUAUAUCCCAGGUACAAAUUUGGAAAUGACACAUUCAAACACUUGCAAACAAUUCCUACUCUAAUUUCUGCUGUGCUUUCUUCCAGCCACAAGGGAGAUGAUCAUUAGUAUUACUUAUUUAUUAUUUACUAAGUGCAGUUAUUAGAGUGUUCAUCUCUGUACACAAAUGCAAGAAAACAAAGGUCUGGAUUCAGUUCUCCCACGAACUUUACACUGGAUUAUUGUUAUGGACACUUCAUAGUUCAGAUUUAUACUAGUGUAAUUAUGUUCCAAAUAUCAGUUAUUGCACUACUUCAGCUUUUGUCACAGUUCAAAAUCUCCAUUUUUCCACAAUGAACUGUGGAAAACCAGAGGUUUAACAGAGCAGCUUUGAGCCUUGGGCAGCAGUAGCACAUGGGCAAUGGUGGUUGCUGGGUUGCCAGCAGCAGAAGUAUGGCCAGCAAACAGGUGUGGCACCUGCUAUUUUGCACCCCCACCCCAACUAAGUGGGCAGCUGGGGCUGCUGCCAGGUUAUCAUCCCCUCCCCCCAGCUAUGCUACUGUGGAAAAUAUUUAUUUGAAUUUAGCACGUAAGAAAAUACUCUUGACUUAAAGUCUCUCCUCACUGAUAUUGCCCGUCCUCUGUCCCUUCAGUUCCACUACAGAUUUCAUCACCUUGGUACACCUGGCGGACUUCCCUCCAUAUAUUGUUCAUUCCACUUGCUCAGGUGUCUCAUUUUGUUCAGCAUCUGUAGCUUUAAGUCAACCAUGCCUGAUACACCCCAACCCUCAAGUCUUUUCAAGGGGGUAGAUUUUCAAAAGCGCAAAUGGUGACUAAGCACUGGUUCUUGUUCCCUUUUGAAAGGGAUUGGGCUCCUGCCUUCUCUUCUGCCUUUGCAAAUACCCCCCCUGGCAGGUAUCCUCAGAAAGGGUCAUGACAUCAUCUCUGGCACCCUUUUAUAACUUAUACCUUUUGCUUCAUACCUUCUGUUUGCCCCCUCAAAAGUCUUUGGAAAUGGCCUGCAGUGGCUACUCCUUUAACACUCAGCUGUUAAAAUCAUCUUAACUAUAGCAGUAACCAUUACAUAAUAUAUGUUACACUAGAUAAAACUUUUAGUUACUAUGGAUUUGGUAAAUCUUCUAGUUACUACAGAUUUGAGCAAGAAUUCUUAGCUUCUGGUGGCCAGAUUACACAAUUACACUGCUGAGCAUUUUCUCAGUUUCAUCCCAUUUAAUUUUAGUGAGUAAUGAUUAUGCAAUCUAGUUCAUGGAGCUGAUGUGUGUUUCCAGCACACAGGCUGUCAGAUCUUUCUUGUUUCUCCCCUCAAGCCUAUGCUUCAGUCCCUGUCUGUCUCCUGUACAUAACAGUGCACCCAAAACUGAAUACAACAAACAUAUUUUCAAUUCCCUUCCACCUACCACACACUUCAUCUCUGAACCUGGCCGGGUAUUAGGGACAUGCAAGAUCAAGGGCCCAGUCUCCUUUACUCUGUUCUUCUGAUGACUUUGACACAAGGACUUUCUGGCAUGAUGUAAGUCAAUGUAAUGUGCUCUAUGUUACCCAUCCUGGGCACUGGAGACAUUCAUGGAUGGGCUGAGCAACUAGCUAAGGCAAUCCUCUUCAUCUCUCAUGAAGUAGUCUGUGGACUGCUAUAAAUUAUAUUGAAAACAGGGCUGAAUGCUAUUCCCCGUGCUUAAUGCUACCUUCUUGCCCAACCCACUCAAGGUGGUACACUAAAUGCAAUGAGGACAGCCAUGGGGGUUUAGUCCAUGAUCUUGGGGCACAUCUUCACAGCUUUUCCAAGGAAUUUUGGUUAGACUAUAGAUCAUUUAUACGUUGGCAAUUCUUUCCCCUGGCUCUUCUUGCUGAAUGGUUGGCCACCAUAUAAUUCCCUGGUAGAUCCGUUUCAAAAUAUAUUUAUUUAAUACCUCAAUUUUAUAUUGGAUGGUUUCUCCUGGAUGGUAUGCAAGCCAUUACAGUAUUCAAAUACAUGUUUUUACAGUGAAGCAGCUAACUUCAAGUACUAAACCCUAUAGUGUUUUGUGCUGAAAAAUAUUUAAAGCUCUCAAAGCCCAGAUACAUAUGUCACUGGCAUUUUCUAUGCCAAUGUUCUUUGUUAUUUCCAAAUAGCUGAUAUUGGAAAUAGCUCCUAAGAAUAAACAUUUUCAAAUAGUGCAGAAUGUAUUUUUUAAGUAAAUCUGUUUUGCCCGAUACCAAUCUUUUCAGCAGUGAAUAAAAUGUAAGGGGUAUGUAUUCUUCCAAGUGUGCUGAGCUAUAGGUUGAGAAAAUUCUGGAAACAUACAAUGCAAAGCAAAGAAAAAGUUUCAAGUUAUUUGAUAGCAUCACUUAGCAUUUGUGAUGAGGGACGAUCAGGAGAGGAAUACAGAGCAAGGCUGUUGUCAGCCAGAUUCACAGCACAUGGAUGCAGGGAACAUACUGUGCUACCAGUUCUUCAGACACAUGCAUACAAUUUCAAACAGAAAUCAAAAUUAGCCCAAAAGUGUUUGGUGAAUUUUGUGGGGGAAGGGAGAGAGUUGUCUACUUCAUAACGGGAAAUAUUUAUUUGAGAAAUUUAUAACCAUACUAAGAUCUAAGCAAAUUACUGGCUUUAUUUCUCCUUCUUCGGCUAUUCACAAGGAGUAGAAUCCUUCUACUAAGCUGUCAGUGGAUAGAGAACCAACCCAGAGAAACCCAAAGCAGGUACUUUCCUGAGUUUCUCUUCACUGCUCUUUACAAAUUCUGUAUAUUUUCACUUCGUUCUGUAUUGUCUUUUCUAAAAGGAAAUGAAUUCCAGGAAUUUUACUAUACCUCUUUUAAUGAAGCUCAUACAAACUCAUAGAUUUUUUAUUUUACAAUAAUUGUUUAAUCAAAUUGUGUAUGUCAGAUACUAAAUAUUCAAAUAUAAGAUAAUACUGCAUACUUUUGUAACUUAAUACAUCUUUGGCUUUUGUCUGAAGGGUAUUUGUAGGACAACAAACUAACUAACUAAAUCAACUGAGCACAUAAAGGUGUUCUGUAAAUUCCAGCCUACAAAGGGUAAAACGUAGACUCACAUUCCUUGCUCAACAUAUGAGUGACCUGUGGUAGGGCUAAAAAAAAAGGGGGGUGGGGAGUGCUGUUGUAUGGGAAACUGCCCAGAAGGAAAGUCAGUUCUUUUCCCCUUCACAUAUUGCUGGAAGCUGAAAAGACCUCCCUUGACAGUCGCCAUGGCUAGGGACAGAAGUUACACAUAAACUGGUUUAAGUGAUCAAGAACUGGUUUAAACCUGUAACAAAACAGAAGUUUAGUGCACCUAAGCCACUUUCAAAAUGGCUGAAACUGGUUUAAAAUAAACCUAGACGGAUGUAGUAUCAGACUAAGCUGAUUUAGCCCAAACUGGUUUAUGGAACUUCUAUCCCAGAUCCUGUCCCAAUUCAACUUAACUCACAGUCCUCCAGCAUCCCAGGAUGCUGGGGAGCCCUGCGCUUUGCUCUCUGCUCCAACAGAGCAGGGCAGCCCUGCCCCCAGCUGUAAGAUCCCAGCAGCCCAGACCCCGGCAGAGCCUGGCAGAUUCCCCUGGCCCUGCCACCUCCUCUGUUGGGGGAAUUGGCCCGGCUCCAGCUAGGGUAGGGGGAAUAAAACUGUCGGCACAGCCCAGCUGGAGGUCCUGGGCUGGGGCUGUGUUCGCCCCCACUUCCACCCUAGCCGGCAGGCUGGCUGGGGAAGUGGUAUGGCUGGGUGAUUGCUCCAGCUCCCAGCUCAGGUGUGGGGGAGAAAAGACCCCACUGUGGGCUCCAUGCACCAGCCCCCACCAUCGGGCACAACCCAGCUGGGAGUCUGGAAUAGGGGGACGGGGAAGGAGAGGGCGGUUGGUUUUCCCCUCAAACUCCCAGCCUGCGUACUGGCCAGGGAGGGGGCAUGGCCGGGUGAUUGCCCUGGGUCCCAGGUCCUGGCUCAGGUUGGGAGUGGGGGGAGCCCCCACUUUAGGCUCCCCCCACGCUGUGCCAGGCACAGUCUGGCUGGGGAUCCAGAGCUAGGCAGAGGGGGGUCAUUUCCCCACCACAUUCCCUCUUCUGAUGGGCCCCAGCUGCCUGGGGAGGGGAGAUGGGGUGGGGGGAGUAAAGCCCCCACUCUGGGCUUCCCCACAGCUGGGAGCCAUGGCAAUCACGUGGCCAUGCCUCCUCCCAGGCUGGCAAGCCAGCUGAGGAGGAAGUGUGGGGCAGGGGAGAGGGACCUGGCUCUGGACCCCCAGCCAAGCUGUGCCCAGCACCAGGGGAAACCUGCACAGGGGGCCAUUUUACCUCCCACUCCCUCCUCAGCCAGCCUGCCGGCCAAAAAGGGAACAUGACCAGGUGAUCACCAUGGCUCCCAGCUGUGGGGAAGCUCUCAGCUGGGGCUUUAUUCCCCACAUGCCCCCCUCCUCAGCUGGUGAAGGGUGAAGAGGGAGCAUGGCUGGGGGAAUUGCCCGGCUCCCAGCAGCGACCGGCAGGCUGGGAGGUGUGCUCUAGCACCCCCGCCUCCUGGUAUGGGCCACUGCAGGGGUCUGGCUGCCUUUCAGGUUUGAAAAGUGAAUGUCAGUUGACUUUCUUAUCGGUUCAGUCCAGGCAGUUUACAGAAACCUGCAAAGAUUGAAUCAAUUCAGCCUUGGGCUUUUUGAGUGUCUGUACUCAGCCCAGGUGUCCUGUGUUACUUUGUUGCUGUUUUGGAAUCUUCUGUGUGAAUAAAGCCGCUCUUCAGGAAAGGGACCUGAAGGCAAGGAGAGUUUGGGCUUUAUUUAAUCUUUCCAGCUGGUGUAUUGUCCACUCAGUUUAUAAGCCAUUUCUAUGUAUUGGCUUUAAAACUAGGCUUUCAUUUUAAUACAAAAUCAGGAUACAACUAUUGUAAUACCUUCUUUUAUACCCACUCUGGUGAACAUACUAUUAUUGGUAAAUUCAACUUGGCUUUUGGAAAAGAAGGCAACGUUAAAUCCAUGCUUCUGAGCAAGUUUAAAGAUACUCAAGGGUAUCACUGGUUUGUGCACUAGAUUCUUUUUAAAGCCAAGGAAAAGUGUCAUAGGAUGGGGUUAAUAUCAACUUCAGCUUUGAUGCAGACAAAGGUAACUCUCUGCUGAGAAAUGUAAAUUCAUCGUGCCACUCGGUGUCAUUUUCUACUGCAGGCAUAUUUUGUAGAAAACUGCAAUAUCAGCUCAUGAGUGGUUAGACUGAGUUAUACAUCCACUAAUGGGCAUAUCAGUGAAAUGUUUCUAAACUUUGUCUUACCUCCUACACGAUUUGGAAGGUGCCAAUCGUCUCACAUUUUCUUCAUUAUUGACUAAUGAUAAUUACAAUUGUUCCACCUCAUGUUAUGUUUUUCAGUCUGCCUAAAAUUUUAACUGUUGGCUUGGGAACUCAGUAUGGUCUAGAGAUGCAUAAUUUAGCACCAAGUUAGAGAUCACAAGUGGCUGGCUAUAUCCAACAUGUUUUAUAAAAUCCAACAUCUGAUUAACAAUAUUAUAAUAAAUAAGUUACCUUAAGCAUUUAAUAAAAUACUUCUCAUCCAUUGGCUUGAGAAUUUGCUUAGUAUAACUGGUAGAGUUAUUUGUUGUUUAGUAGAGCUCAAUGGAAUAUUACAACUGAAUAUUGUAUUCACCUAGUAUUGCAGAUUUAAGUUGACCAAAAUAUUAACGAUUUUUUCAAGGUAUUCCAAUAAACAAAAUUCUGAAAUCAGUCAAUCAAAACAUUUCUUCUGAUAUUUGGAAAUGAACUAUUUCAAUUUUUCAUUGCAGAACACUAUUUCAUUUCAAAAUUUACCCACAUGUAAUAUUUUAAAAGGAUAAAAUAACACAACACACUUUUUCAUUAAUUCCUUCUGGAAUUUAUUAUUUUUGUUUUUCAUAUUGGGAGAAAAACCAAAAUAUUUGGCUGACCCAUAACAAUACUUUCCUGCUUUUUUUAGUUCGGUUGGCAAAAAAAAAAAUCAAAGUUUAGCUGUCUUUACAGUUCAUGAAAACUGUGAAGUGAUUAUGAUUUUUGUUGACUUAUUCUUUUCUUAACUCUUCACAUUGAUUUAUGAGAACAAAAUUUAACCUACAACUUAUUUACUAAUAGCUAGGCUUUUUUGUUAAUUGUGGUAUACGAUUGGUCGCUAUGUCAUAUGGCGGGGGUACUUGCGAAGGGCUACGGGGGUACACACAGGUAGGGAUGGAGCACCACCACCCACCACCUUGUGCUGCCACUGCUCCGUAUCCGGCCGCACACCACCCACCCCCCACUUCCCAUGCCACCCUCCGUCGCUCCAUGUCCGACCACCGGGGGUACACUUAUUUUAAAAGGUUGAAAACCCAUCAUAUGGUAUUGUUUUUGCUCCCCAAGUGACUGUCUACAAUUUUCUAGGAUGGUAAAAUGGGAGUAACAAACAGCAAAUAACAACAGUCAUCUUGUAUGAAUGUUCAGAUGAAUAAUCAUUCAUAAAACAUUGAAGAUGUAUACGGUUCUUUAGGUAAAUAUGAUAUCUUUUGUUAGACCAUUUACUCAUACAGUUCUUUCCAGCUUCCACCCAUCAACAGGUUUUUCUAUAUUCUGAAUAACAUGCUUUAAUCUAGAGUUGGCCAGAAAGCAAGAAUCUUAUUUCACAAAAAUUUUUGAGGUUUCAACAUUUGUUUGCAUUCCAAACCAAAACCCAAGACAUGUAUAAACUGUUCAUGAAAAACUGCAAGAGCCUGACCACUACAGAAUUGCCAGGUGAUUGCAGUACUUACCUAGGAGAUCCAGUGUUCACCUAACUAUAGUCCCUUAAUUAUAUAGUCUCACUGGGCACUUGUAAACAUGAUGAAAAUUGCCUUUCUUUGUGACUUACUGGUAUCACACUUUACACAUAUGCGAGUUUUUGGCAAUUUAAAUGAUUUUGCAUCUUCAUAGACUAAUCUCCAUCCCAUCCUGAUGUAGUUUAGUUUGCAACAACGCAACUUGGAACAGUACAGCCAUUAAUCUGUUAUAUGUACAUAGUAAUUCACUGAAUGACAUGUGAUGAGCCCCUUUGUCCAUUGGGUGUCACUACAAUUUUUGUGGAGUGAGCCCCUUGUCCACCAAGUGUCGCUACAACUUACAGGUAUGUGUGUGUAAUGAAUGUUUUAGGUUCAGUCUGGUGAGCACAGCUGACUGGCACCAAAACUUACAAUAGUCACAGAGCAUAGCUCUUGCAUGCCUAGGAAAAAUCACCAAACUUUGCUCGGCAACAGCCACGAGGAGCCCCUGCUCCCUUCCACCUUGCACCUCUAAAACAUCCUUUUUCAGCUGGCUGUGGUGUGAUUGCCCCUCUAACUCCAUUAAUUUGCUCUCCUGUUUUCCAUAAACCUGACAGGUGGCGUUCUAUGAGCCCGCAUAAGCAUUAAGCAUGCCUGCUUUAUGAAUAGUGGGUGGUUUCUGUUAGCAUUCAUUCCCUCACCAGCUAUGUCUGAACUGCUUGUCUCACUGGGAGUGGUGUCUUGACACAUGGGUCGUUGGGUAGCCAGUUGUUGUGCCAUGCACCAACAGGGAGCCUGUGGACCCACUGAGGACCUAACUCUCAGUACAUGGCUCAUUGGGUAACCUGCUAUUGUGCCAUAGCAUACACAGGGCUAAAAGACCUAGCAGGGCUAAAAGAUGUCCAGAACAAGUAUGCUCAUACAAUAUAGAGUUGCCACUGGUGCAGAGCCCCACUCCCUGCCUUAACCCUGCCUAGCACCAGCAUGUCUGAUGUCCAAACUUUGCCCAGUAACAAUAGGGUGGGAGGGGAAUGAAUUUCCCUUGGCCCUGCCAUCUCAAAACGUAUAAAUUGAGUGCACAGCUCCCUGGGGUACCCCUUAUUGAUCCAAGAUGUCUGACAUUCAGGGAGAACAGAGCGGACUGGGGUGCAUAGGCGUAGGUCCAAUUGAACCUUCACCAAAACAAAGAGCUGGUGCGGGUGCUGGGGGACCCUGAGGUCAUGCUCCUGUUCAUCUGCAGUUUGCGGGCCAACUGGCUCUUCUAUCUUGUUGCCAGGACAAUGGGCAAGCAGGAGCACAAUAGGAUGGCAGUCCAAAGAUGCUGUGGGCUACUUUCCACAGGGAUGUUGCCAGAGCACAGAGGCAGGGCACCACACUGCACAACGUGACCCAUUACAGAAAACUUCAGCCAAUAAUGGAUGCCAUGGACACACAGGGACAGAGGCCUCUGGGGGUCUUCACCUGCUGAGACAUUGCCAACCACUGCUGUGACUUGUCGGGGCUGCAGUGGAGAAUAUAGCAGCAGGGUCUCAGUCAUGUCACCUGCUGCUUCCUCCAAGGAAGACAGACCAUGGAGCUUGGCCUCCACAUCUGCUCCACUUGCAAUGCCACUGCUGAGAAUACAGAGGUUACCGAGGCAGGCUGCUGCUGAUGCAUGCACAGACAAGAUCAUGAAUGCCCUCAGGAAGUGUGAGCAUUGGCUGCGCAAGAUGAUGAGACAGAUCUGUCUGGCUAUGGGCAGAUUCAUAGUCAUCCAGCACAACAGGAAUGGCUCAGAGUACAGGAGGCAUUCCCAGACCCAGGAGGACUGGAAAAUAAUGGUCAGGAUCCUUGCAACGAUUCUAUGCCUGCUGGUUGUUGGCACUGCUCCUGCCUGGGAGUGGUACAGGCCAGUACAGAUCUGUGCUCUGCCAUCCACCAGUUCGCAGUCAAGCUUGGAAAAUCUACCUUAGAGCCAAGGUCAUCUAGUAAAAAUGCUUAUUGCUUAGAUUGAUUUUUUUCACGAACCCUGUAUUGUAUAGUAGUAGAAAGAAAUUCCUCUGUUGUAGUAAUGAUGCAUCAUUAUAUUAUAAAAGAUGUUUUGUGGUUUGUUUAAUUAUGGUUAUUUGGUUUGUAAAUAAAGGUUUCUACUUGC